UACAGAGGUCUCAAGCGUUGUUCGGAUUCAUUGGGCGUAAAGGGUGCGUAGGUGGCAUGGUAAGUUGAAGGUGAAAUCUCGGGGCUUAACUCCGAAACUGCCUUCAAUACUGCUGUGCUUGAGGAUUGUAGAGGAGAAUGGAAUUCACGGUGUAGCAGUGAAAUGCGUAGAUAUCGUGAGGAAGACCAGUGGCGAAGGCGAUUCUCUGGGCAAUUCCUGACACUGAGGCACGAAGGCCAGGGGAGCAAACGGG
rnacentral:rRNA from 1 species